rnacentral:lncRNA from 1 species
AUCAGACAGAGAAAAUUUCCCUCUUACAUUGAUAACAAAGUUUAUGAGAGUAAGGCCAUAUUUUAAGGCUUAUACCAUUGAGUUAUUAACUAAUUAUUUGUUAUGUCAAGGUUUUUCAAAGCCCAACUCUUUAUAAAAGUCGAUGAAGUGGACAAUUGAGCUAAGUCUAUUUGAAGUCUAUUUGAAAUCCAAUUUCAACUGUGAACGACUACCAAGGGUCAGGCAUUAGCAGAAUUUCUUGCAUUAUUUACUGAGGGACCUAUCUUUCCUAAAGAUGUCGAAGACCCUGGGUCAAUGCUCAGAGGAUAUGGAAGCUAAUUUUUGACAACUCAUCUGGAAAGACAAGAUCGAGAGCAGGGACGAUCCUAAUGAUUCCAGAGGGACAUCAUCUGACUUGCACCCUAAGAUUCGAUUUCCAAGCCUUAAUAAUGUAGCAGAGUACGCAGAGUUUAUAGUUGAUCUAUAAUUGGUGAAAGGAGAUAAAAAUAAAAUAGGUACAAGUUAAUAAUGACUCCCAGAUGCUAGUGACUUGGAUGGAUGGGAUCUUAGCCCUGAAAAAUAUCUUGACAAGUUUGAAAUCCUUCAAGUCUCUCUAGUAGAUAACAGAAGCACCGAUGCUCAGUCCAACCUAGCAGAUAACAUAGAUUCCGAGUUGUGGAAGGUAAUUCUAAUGGAAUUUCUAGAGAAGCCCUCAACCAAGGCCAGAGAUGAGGUAAUGUUUAUUAUUCAACAGCCUAAGUGGAUGAAAGAUCUCUCAAAUUACUUCUUGGACCAGAGCUCCCAUAUGACUAGGUUAAAGCCAAAAGCUGAAGCUGAGAGCAGCUCGUUUUGUAGUAAGGAUGGAAUCCCUUGCUACACUGAAUUGGAGGAGACGAAGUAGAAUACCUAUUGUUGUGGUAGAUAGAGGAAUUCGUAACAAUGGAGAAGGUGGUUUAUCAAUAGCCUUAAAAAUUUUGAAGUAGAAAUACUACCGGUGGAUCCUAAAAGGUUUGUUUUGGUACCUCGUGCUUUAAUUGAUUGUAAGUUAGAGCAUUUCUAGUUCAUAAAUUGGGCCAUUAUAUAUAAUAGGUUUUUGGUGCGGAUGUAGUUGUAGUGGAUUUUGAUAUCAAUAACAUAUUAUGAAUUAUGAUAUAUAAAUUUGACCAGCAUCAUCUGAGAUUAAUUGUUUUGAAGUUCAUAAAGAGAGCUCAUUAUAUUUAAGAUCAGUUAUCCUUUGGGUAAUUAAAUUAGCUAAAUGAUCAUAAUGCUUGAAUAAGGAUAUCAAUUACUUUGGCAUGUUUGGUAAGCAUUACUGCAUAGGGUCUUACAGCACAGUGGACAUGAUUUUAGCAUCUUUCUGUUAUGUAAUAUUGUCUAAUAUUAUGCAUUCCACCUUAUUGCAAAAGCCAUUAAUGUCUAGAUCAUAUCUUCCAUUCUCCAUAACGUAAAUUCACGAGGAAUGUUGAACAUUAUGGUUGUUCCUUUUAAUUUGCUUUAUAAGUACACUGUUUAUAAUAUAUAAACCGAGAUUCUUGAUAGUUCUUCACAAUAUUACGUACACGCUUGCUUCUUUCUAGACUAUCUUUUCUGUUGUUUUACUUCGCUUAAGAUAGUUAUAUUACAACGUUGAGACGUGGUCCGCUUGUAUCGUGUUUUUUGCCUUUUAUUGUUACAGUUAAAUCUAUUAUGUAGAUUAAUUAAUUAUUUUUUGCAUUAAAAGUCAUCGUGUGGGGUGACGUUAGGUUUGGGGUUACCGUGAAGGGGUAACCAUUGUGUGUUGCUAGAUUUAGGAAUUAUUUGCCUUAAAUUCUUUGUGAAUGUUAUGCCAAUUUUUCUACACUGUUAGAAUUGCAUAUAACCUUAGGAAAGUUUAUUUGAUCAUUCUAUGUGAAUUAUGUUUAUAUUUUUGCUUGCGAUCAUUAUUUGGUAUUGAUGACAUAUAUAAGUCUAAAGCAAGUGAGAAAAAUAAAACAUGUUUUGACUGUGGUAAAAUUGGACAUGAUGAGAUAGAUUAUCCUAGUAAUAAUAAUAAAAUGAAAGAUAAUGAGAGAGGUGGGGCUAAUGUGGUUAUAGGGUCCAGUGAUGACCUGUGUAAGGUUUAUUGAGAGUAAACUUGGUUACUGCAUUUACAUCUGUGUGUAAUCAUUUCUAUAUUCAUGUGAUUGCUUAAUUACGUUGCGUUGGUAUGUUACACUUUCAAUUUGUUUGAUGUGUAUAAUUGCAUGAAUUAGAGUAAUAUUAUUACUUUGUAUAAUGUGUUUGCAUGCAUAGUAGGUCAAGUUUUAUAGCAUACUCCGUUUGCUCUAUGAGUGGUGUAAGAGUGCGGUAGUGAGAAGAAAGAUGGACAGUCAUUUUCUCCUUUAUCUCUGUGCGCCUGUGUGGUUUGCGAGAUUGUGUGAGGCAACCAGGUAGGAUUAUCUUCUUUCUCUUUGUGAGCUCCUUUUGUGAGUGUAGUGAAGUAACCAAAUCUUUCUUCUAUUCCCUUUAUGAGUACCACCUUCGCAAUUUUCUUUGUGGGUUCUUUGAGUAUUGGUGUUUGGGGUAACCUUGUGGUGCGUGAGUAAAUUUAAAUUAAGCCUAACCUUUAUGGCCGCCGAAAGGUGUUGAUUUGUCAUAGUGAGUUUGAGAUGCAUUAGCAGUAUGUUGAGUGUCUAUUUGUAAGGUAGAGUAUAGAUGCCUGAAGGUGAAUUGGUGAUAUGCAUGGGGAUGUGAAAUGCGACAUUUGGAUCAUGAGUUGAGAGGUGAUUAAAUGUUAGAAUCAUUUAUUUGUGAAAAGACCCUGUACAGGUGGAGUGUGAGAGAUACACUUCUAUCACUUAUGUUAGGUGGAGACCCAUUAUCCACGUAAGUUGGGCUAAGUAAUGUGGUGAUAAAGGAUUAUCCCUAGAACUUAGGAUCUAUUAUAAUUUACUGGUUAGAUGUAAAUUGAGUGAUCAGUUUAGUGAGAUUAGUGGGCGAUGAGAGGAGAUAUGCGUUCUCAAGUUGUGAGCAACACGGAAUGUGAUAGGAUAAGUGUGGUGAGAUCUUUUCGUAGGGUCAUUUAUGCAUUUGUUGCAUAUGUGUUUGAUUAACCUGGCUUUAAUCUGUGGUUCUAUGUGAACGUGUCUCUGAAAAGAUCUAUGUGUGUUAUCCUAUAAUAUAUCAUCAUCGUAUGCUCAUUUGCUCUUAAUUGUUUGCUGUGAAUAUUUGCUUCUACUUGGGUGUUCUUGAUUUUAGCCCUGGUGAGUACAUAAAGUAGGUAUGGUAUGUAUUUUCAGGUUGGAAACAUGAGAUAAAGUCUGUGAUCCAAUUUUAUUAGUUAUCUUUAUUAUGCAAGAAUAAACUUUAUGGUUUGAUUGCUUGCAGAUUUAUUGAGUAUCAUGGUGGAGAUUUGUUGGGUUUUGAUACUCAAUAAAUUUGGGUGACAAUUUAAAACAGUUGUCAGAUAAUUUAUCGACACCAUAGACUUGAUUCAACUCGAAAACGACCUAUACUUUUGGAUGCCCUAAGUUUUGGGUUAGAUGUUUUUUUUUUAUUGUGUGGUCCAUUUAUUUGUAAUUAAGUGGUAGCCCAUCUGUAGAGAAGACUGUGGCCCAAUCUAUAUGAGUGACCUAAUGUCUUGCUAUAUAUAUGUUUUGUUCCUAGCCGUGUCUUCGUGUGUGUGUAGUAUGCAAGAGAGAAAACAAGAAAAGAAAAGAGAAAAGCAGUCGACUUUCUUCGGAGUUAGAGAGCUUGGAGUGUUUUUUGGUGUCUUCCUUUAUCUUUCUCCUUCCUUUGCCGAGUGCAUACACCACCACCAUAGUCUCCUUUGUGGAGUGAAACUUGUAGUGACCAAGUGUGGAAGUUUUAGGUCGAAUCGAGAUAAACUGGUGUUCGUUUGAUUGUUUUCUCCUCCAAAAUCAAGAUUUCUUGAGAGAUUUCCAUGACAAUUGUGAUGUAAAGGAAGAGUUUCCCAAGCGGUCAAACUUCAUGGAAGUGGUGCCUCUACUUUAUUCCAGUUUUUACCAAAAAAGGAAAAGGCCCAAAUUUGCAUAAGAAAUUAUGUCUUCAAACUGGGCAAUUCAGCUCCUAUUUUUCUAAGUGAGAUAAUUGAAAUGAGAAUUCACGCAGCAAUUCUCUUAUUAUCUGUUUUAAUCCUUAAAGUUGUUGUCCAUAUCACAAGAGAUUAUGCAUAAUUUCUCUGACAUGUUAGCUCGAACAACUUUCUUACUUGAGUUUUAUUGCCUAUGUCUGUGAACUUAUCAUCUGAACAAAAUUUAGUGCAUAUUUCAGGGUCAUUCGCAGGUUUUGGAUUUUUGUCAUUGUACUUAUCUUGUAAAAUUAAAGCGUUUGAUCAGAGGGGUCAUGUAGCAAAACUAUGCAUUGUUUUUCUUCCUAUCCUUGUUGUAUAUCUUGUUGGCAUUUCCCGUGUGGAUAACUCCUGGCAUCAUUGGCAAGAUGUGUUUGUCGAGGGUCUUUUAGGUUGGUUCUUUGCUGUCUGUUAAAUUACUAAAGUUAAGUCGACCAGAUUAUUUUUCAUCUUCACAUGCAUUACAUCUCUACAUCUGUAUACCUUUUCAGGUCUUGUCGUUGCUACAUUUUGCUAUCUAUAGUUUUCCCACCUCCACAUCACACUGAAGGUAGAAUUUCCACUUCGUUCAUAUUCUAUAUUUUGCUCCAUUUAAGACUCCACAGUGUGAAUUCUGUUUUGCUGGAUACACAUACAACACUGAUACAUUAUUACGAAGAACCUGUAGCGAAAUUGAAGAGUUUUCAGUUACUAUUGAAUCCCAUUACACAAAUUAUCAUUGACGCUGAUUUUGUUGGGUUAGCUUUUUGAUAGGGAAGACAUUCCAAGGACGAAAUGCCCUAGCAGUGAAUAGAUUGUCUCUUUCAUCAUUUUACAAUAGAAAAAAGUAGUAUAGAUAUGAAAAAUGUGAAAUUUCAAAUGACACAGGAAACAAUAUUUAAUCUAAGGAGAAGUUUCUGUGUUGCAAUGCACUUUCGCAGAAUGGGGUCCUUAUGCCUAUUUCUGAGCGGAGGAGGAAUUUGGUUCCAACCUACAAACAGUCUAAUCUGUGAAUGGAAGUAGCAAGCAACGGGUAAAUCGGCAAUCUAUGCCGAGCAACGUGACAUAAAAUCACAAUUUGAAUGAUGACAUGGAGUGGAGUCUGGUAGAAGGUAGAUAAAAAAUGUUAUUUAGCUCCAAUGGAGUUACAAACUCAGUCUAGAUGGC